AGGGUUUGAUUAUGGCUCAGGACGAACGCUGGCGGCGUGCUUAACACAUGCAAGUCGAACGGGGAUAUCCGCUUCGGUGGAUAUUCUAGUGGCGGACGGGUGAGUAACGCGUGAACAAGCUGUCCUAUACAGGGGGAUAACACUGAGAAAUCAGUGCUAAUACCGCAUAAGACCACAGCACCGCAUGGUAAAGGGGUCAAAGGAGGAAUCCGGUAGAGGAGGCGUUCGCGUCCCAUUAGAUAGUUGGCGGGGUAACGGCCCACCAAGUCAGCGAUGGGUAGCCGAGCUGAGAGGCUGAUCGGCCACACUGGGACUGAGACACGGCCCAG
rnacentral:rRNA from 1 species